rnacentral:lncRNA from 1 species
GUGACUUCCAAAGACUCGCCACCCCAUUCCACAGCCUGAGGUGCCACCAAAGCCAUAAGCCCAGGGGAGUCUCUCACACCCCAUUCUCCUAGGGCCCAUGUACCCCACGCCCACCUCCACCCCAGGAGCCGAAGGCCGGCAGGGAGCCUGGAGAGCCUCCUUGAUGGGAGAACUGCGGAGCUUGCCCCUCGGAAAAGUGCAUGGGGUGGAGAACAGGGAAGGAGAAAAAAACAACAACUGGGUACUCGCAGCCCCACCGCGGUGUCCGCUUCGCCGGUGGGAGAGGAUCCUCGCCGCCCUGAAUCCUUGAAGUGAGUUCCACCCCUGUCUCUUGGAGUGCUCAGGGUGGCGGGCCCUUUGCCAGCCCUCACCCUUUCCCCAGGGAUCCUGUCCCAGGUCACAGGCUCCUAGACUGGAAGGCGCUGGGCCUGGACCUCUGCCACUCAGUGGACACAGCUAUAAGAGAUGAAGGGACACAGAGGACAAAGAAGAAACAUUUGGCUUCAGGGAACCAGACUCUGUGUCUCCUCCCAGGUGCUGAAGGAACAGGUUGCAGCUACCUGGUGCCCCCACCCCGACCCUGCCAGAGAAAGGUUGGAACAUCCACACCUGUGGACCGAAGUCCCCCACCAGGCUCUUUCCUCCCACCCUUCAGCCCCAGGCUCUCUGAGCUCCUGCUCCUCCCUGCCUUGCCUUGUUUGCUGAGGGCACACACAGUGGAGAGAGCACAGGACUGGGAGUCCAGAGACCUGGGCUCUAGUCUACUCUGUGACUCGGGUCAAGUCUCUGGCCCUUUGUGGGCCCAAGUUGCCCCAUUUGCAGUGAAUAGGUUGCAGUCAAUUAUCUCCGGCCAUUUUUACGGAUCCUGAACCGUGGUCUUGGGCACCUUGCUUUAUUAGGCUUUUUGGUGGCUGUGCAUCUUGUAAGGGUGUGUAUGCAUGUGCGUGUGUGUGUGCGUGCGACAUGCGCUUGUCCUCUCAGACCCAAGUUCUUAAAGGGAAAGAGACUGGGGCCUACACAGAGGCAGGCAUGUAUAUUCCACAGACCAGAGUUUGACAAGAAUGACUGGACACAAGAGUGGAGCCCAGUCCCAGCUCUAUGCUGAAUUCAGAGUAGCCUUGGACAAGACCCUCACCAUCUACAAAAUGGAGAUUAAUAAUCCCUGCUUUGCCUUUCCAAGGCUAGUCGGGGGACUCAGUGAGAUAUUAGAUAUGAAGCUCUUUGAAGGGGAAUAGCACAGGGAUGUGUGCUUUUGAUGUCUGGGCCAGUGAUGGGUUUGGGGGAAGAAUAGGGUGUGAAGCAUUCUCUGGGAGGCAAAGGCUGGCACUGGACUGAUUGGCCACCCUGCCAAAGCUGCAGCAUGCACAGCACAGGCAGGCACCCCACCACCAGCAGCCAAGGUGAGCAGAGAUGCCUGGUGCCCCACCUGGAUUCCUGCCUGCUGUAGGUAUCUGUGUGUGCACCUUGAAGAAACUAAAGAGGGAAGAUAAAGAGGCUCCCAACCUAAAUGGAGGUGGUCAGUGGAUUACUGAUGAAUCGAUCUGCAUAUCUUGGCCAAAAUCACCCUCCUCUGCUCUUAGGGAGUUUAAAGUCUAACUGAAUGAUUGAACAUGAACCCUUUGGAGAAUGAUGUGGAGCCAGGAGAGGGGAUUGUGGAUGGUGAGCACACAGGAUGAUCAGAGGAGGGGGAAGGGCAGGGAGGGGCCGGGGAGGGGGGUACUUAGACCACAUGGAGAUGCAUUUAGAGUAUUGUGUUCAACACUCCUAUUUCAUAGUGAUGAAAUGGAGGCCCAGAGAGGGAAAGUGACCUGCCCAAGGUCACACAGUCACAAGAAGUCAGUAGCAGAGCUAGAACUUGGACCCAGGACUUCAGGAAUCUAUGCUGGAUUUGAGCCUCCUGUGCAGCCGAGGGAGACCUGAAGUGUGGGAAGGACUGGGAUACGUACCAGUGGGCAGGAAGAAAGAGUGAGGCAAAGUGCAGAGGUGGGAACUUUGUACAGCAAGGGAAAGGAGCUGGAAUCACAGGCAGGAUCUGGAAGGAGGGAGCUGCCCAGACCUGGAAAGCCAGGCUGAGCACUGCAGACCACAGAGGGUUUCGAGCUGACACCAGUUGGGAAGAUACAGGCGUGCGAGGGGCACACGCCCAAAUGACCCAGUGAGACAGCAGGUGACAUGACAGCAAGGCAGCAAGGAGACGGGGAAGAGCAGCUCCAGGAGUCAGGCAACCUCCAAUCAAAUGGCCUUGAGCAAGUUGUCUCUCUUCUCUGACCCUCAGUUUCUUUUUUGUGGAGUGAGAGAUAAUCAUCUUUUUUUCCUUUCAGGGUUAUUGUAGUGACCACAGAAUGCAUUUGGAAGUGCUCUGUAAACUGCAGAGUGCUAAGUAAAUUUAAUAUUUGGAGUUGUGUUUUAUUUUCCAAAGGGCUCAGUAAACAUUUGUGGAACUGACUGAUAUUGGAUUGGACACUCUCCUCAUGGCAAUGGGCAGAGGGACCACAAACGGAGGGGGGCAGGGAUUGGGGUGGUCAGAGGGAGUCCUGGCAAGGGUGUGAAGGAAGGAGAGCUUCAGUCUUAAAUGUGAGUCUCCCUCUGACAUCUUUACAACAUAACUCAAAAAGCCUUUUUGGGGGGAAACAGUCCUACCCCAAUCCAUGUGACUCAAAAUGCCCCAUCUCUUCCUUUGCCUGUGUGUUCAAGGGGCGCCAUAUCAGAUGUCACUAUUCUAUGUGUUCUUCACCCAUCCCCACUGGCCAUCUACUCCUCAGGCACUCACCAGCUCCUCCUGGGUGGGCCCAGACGUUAUAUUUGUUUACAAGGCCUUGUUGGAUAGCAGAAACGGUACUACAGAAACCAUCGCCCUUAGUUAAUAUGGCAAGAUUCAGGUCCCUCACAUGUGUUCUCAGCCCCCUGGCACCCAACUCUACCCCAAUCCAUAAGUCCGCUCACGCCUCCCCUCUCCUUGGCAAUGGAGUCACCAGGGCAGGGCUUACUGCCCCACUUGGCAGAUGAGAAAACGGAGGCUAGGAGAGAGGCGCUGCCUGGCAGCGCGAAACCUAGAACAGCCUCACCCACACCGUCAGAGUUGCCCUGCUGAUGAGGCCAUUAUCUCAUCAGGGCUGGAAGUAUUUGCCUCAUUUGACAGAGGAGGAAAUGGGCACUAAGGGCAAGGACAUGCUUUACGGGAACUUCUUGCAGAGCUUUCUUUUCUGCCACUGUAUCCAGAUAAGGGGUCCAUGUUGCCAGUGGUUUCCCAGUGUUGCCGUGACAAAUUAUCAUGCACAGCACCUUCAAACGACAACUAUUUACUCUCAGUCCUGGAGGCCAGAAGUCCCAAGUCGGGGCAUUGCAGAGUUGUGCUCCCUCUGAAGCUUCCAUGGCUCCCUCUGACCGCUGCCCAUCCCUGCCCCCUACGUUUAUGGUCCCUCUGCCCAUGGCUGUGAAGAGACACCAUGCCCAAUCCAACACUGGUCAGUUCUACAAAUGUUUACUGAGGCCUUUGGAAGAUAAAACACAACUCCAAAUAUUGAAUUGGCUU